rnacentral:lncRNA from 1 species
AUUUUGGCCAAGGAAAAAAGGGAUUUGGAUAAAGUUUGGAUGAGAGGUCACUGCUGCAAGCCACCCUUGCACAUACACUUGCUUUGGGGAGGAGGGCACUGCACCCACACAGCCUGCUGAGCACACACGGGUGCUGUCUGCUGCAGAAGAUCUUCUAUGUUGCCAUUGUGUGCACGGCCCAGGGCCUCCUAGGAUCUGCUGUCCCUAGAGACUGACUGAACCCAGGGUGCUCUCAUCUGCAGCUGAGCAAAGGAGCUCCUGGCAGAAGACAGCCUGGAAUGGCCCAGGACGUGGCCUAAAGUGAAUGCCUCAAAGACCUGUGGGGAGGUUGCCAGCUGCAGGGGCCAGAAGAUAAGAGUGUUAAUUUAGCUUGGCUGACAUCCAGGAA